rnacentral:lncRNA from 1 species
AUGAGACCACAGUUACAGUCCAGGGGAAGUGGUGGCCCCUUCAGCAGCAGCUUGAAGAUGCUCACUGGAAGAAAGGAGCCUUCAUGUUCCCAGGAUCAAGGAAUGUCGUCCAGCUGUUAUCCUGCUCCCUUUCAAGAUGAUGUCAGCUAUCAAGGGCAAAGCCAAAACCAGUGACUGCUGUGAACAGCAAGGCUGGGACGCUGCUCAGUAGUGCUGCAAGUCACAGUGUGGAUUCAGCUAGGACGAAAGGGCACCUCUCACCUGCUGGGAUCCUCUCCUAGAAGCCAACACAGCCACGGCUCCCAGUCUCCACAGGACAUUCACAAAAGCAAACCUGCACCAGCACGUACCCAGAGGAGCCCCACCACGCCCAAAACGCCAAGGCAGCUGCACACACCACCCAGCUGUAUCACAGAGCCCAUUCUUCUCCAUUGCCAUGUGGGAUCAGGACCUGCUUCUGCUUGCCCAUGUUCUUGAAUGGGCCUGUACUUCACCAAUGUUCAGAUACAAACCUGUGCAUGAAUUAUUCAAAGGUAUCUGUAAAAUUAGUUUUGAAAACUGU